rnacentral:rRNA from 1 species
AGUGAACGCUGGCGGUAGGCCUAACACAUGCAAGUCGAACGGCAGCACAGUAAGAGCUUGCUCUUACGGGUGGCGAGUGGCGGACGGGUGAGGAAUACAUCGGAAUCUACUUUUUCGUGGGGGAUAACGUAGGGAAACUUACGCUAAUACCGCAUACGACCUACGGGUGAAAGCAGGGGAUCUUCGGACCUUGCGCGAUUGAAUGAGCCGAUGUCGGAUUAGCUAGUUGGCGGGGUAAAGGCCCACCAAGGCGACGAUCCGUAGCUGGUCUGAGAGGAUGAUCAGCCACACUGGAACUGAGACACGGUCCAGACUCCUGCGGGAGGCAGCAGUGGGGAAUAUUGGACAAUGGGCGCAAGCCUGAUACAGCCAUACCGCGUGGGUGAAGAAGGCCUUCGGGUUGUAAAGCCCUUUUGUUGGGAAAGAAAAGCAGCAGGUUAAUACCCCGCUGUUCGGACGGUACCCAAAGAAUAAGCACCGGCUAACUUCGU